AUGAAUCAAGUGAACUAACCUCAAAGUAAUAACCGAUUUAAUUACUGGAGGGUAUUAAUAAUAAUACCUUCAGGACUUAGUUCAUCACAGUUUUCUUUUGUGUAGUUUUAUUUAUGUAAUAAGGCUAAUAUACCUCUCUGGGUGUAACCAGGGUUUUUUUUUAAAAGAAAACUGCUUUUAUCAACACAAGUAUGGUAGAUACUUGCAAACCUCAGUUUAAAAUGGAUAAUCAACCAUCAACCUUUAGGGAAAAUAUAGGAUUUUCCUGGGAUAAACCGGCUAUUCAAAACGGAUUGUUUUACAACCAACGGAUAUUCAUAUUCAUUCCACGACACAUUGGAUUGUACAUGUUCUGUACGAACCUGGAAAUCAUGGAAUGAAUGGGUUUUCAAACACGCUUUUCAUAAGAAAAUAUAGAUUUUCUUGAGGAACACUUUUCCACCAAAACUAAAUGCUUAUGAACUCACCAGAUUUAUGAUGAUAUUCUUUCAAAACUGCUUGCAUUCUCAGGGAAUUAGUAGACAGGUACUUCUAGGAGCUCGAAGAAGUCGAAGUGUUAGAGCCGCGUCUUUCUAUUUUACUUUUAAUAUGAAUAAAACUAUGUAUUAAACAAUGUAAACGUUUUUCACAUAUGUAUUCAAUGUCUGGUUGUGUCUACUAUGCUUGCUAUGAUACAAUUAUUGUGAUACUACGCAUGACGUCAGCCACCCCGAAAGUUUCCGCCAUUCCGGUUUGGGGUUGUGACAUAUUGGUAUCAGAGCCCUUGUUUAUAGCGAACUAAGUAUACCGAACCUUACAUGUUAUACAACUAUAAAUAUUAAGGGGCCUAAGUGCUCUAAACUAAAAAUAUACGUUCAAAAAUACAAGAAUUUUUAUAUAAGUAUACCCGAGUAUCAUAAUCCGUGUGGUAAGUAGAACAAAACAAAAGUAUUUGGAUGUUGGACACUGCAGUUAAACAUGGCAGUUAUGUAAUCAUGUCUAGGAUCAAUAUAGCCUGAUCAACUAUAUUCAUUCGAGACAUGACCAACAUGUGCUUGGGAGUAACUAUGGUGUUGCAACAAGCCUAAAACUUACCUAGAUAUCAGAAGAGUUCUAGAACCGAACAUAAGGAUUAAAAUACUGUAGGAGUAUUUUUGGGUGCUAUAACGACCGAACCGGAGUUUUACUUGAUGGGUUUUGAGCAUUCUAACACUCCUAUGGUGUACAUACANNNNNNNNNNNNNNNNNNNNNNNNNNNNNNNNNNNNNNNNNNNNNNNNNNNNNNNNNNNNNNNNNNNNNNNNNNNNNNNNNNNNNNNNNNNNNNNNNNNNAGAAUCAAUCAUGUAACUAUAAUACAUUAGAAGUAUUAUAGAUUCAAUGCUUAUUAAAUAUUCCUUUACCCUCGCCUCGCGUAGAUAGCACGGCUGGAUUCCAUCUUCCUGGCGACCCGUACUUUCCCAACCAAGGAGAUGGUGGAUGGAUCGAACCAGAGCCAGAAGGAAACCAUGAAAUCCCUUUUGACGAUGGCAUUGCCGAACCAUUUCCUGAAGAGACUGACUCGGAACCAAAAGUCGAGAACUUACCCCCAGUGGCCCCAAUACCAAAUCCCAACCCUCAACUUGAACUCGAAGGCCCAACACCUAUGUGGGUCGGAAGCCUGGAUAGGUGGAGUCAUGAAGAAGGCUAACCCCGCCCCUACAAAAGGGAUCGUUGCUUCUACAAUGUGGACUGAGGAGGCUCCGCAGAUAGAGCCCUUCCAAUCAUAGUUCGCCGAGUGGCCCACAAUGUCGAAAUGAACGUGGCGGCCAUUCAACGAACUAUGGAACUCGAGGAAGACUCAGAUGCCAACGCAAACCAUAAUCGCAGUCUCAAGGUUGCUUAUGGGAGGAUUUUGAGAGAAAACGAAGCCCAGCAGCAAGAGCUAGCUGCAACUCGAGCUGAGGUCGUAGAGCUCCGAGCACGCCAAUUAGUAUACGAGAGCUGCCUGCUUGACAUGGAGCGUCAGUUGACUAACCUAAGGUUCUACUCGAGGAGUGCCCGUCACCAGUAGGAAAUAUUCUACUUGUCCUUCCUUUUGGUUUAAAUAAUAGCUUUCCUAUUUAUGUUCUAAGUAGCUCCUUUCUAUGUAUACAUUCUUGUCUUGCAAGUACCGAUUCACUAGUUCUUUAUGUUGUCAAUUGUUCCUCUGUUGGUAUGUGGUAGACCUACUCCUAGGUCAAGUUUUCCAAACUUGGUGUAAUCUCGAUAUCGACAAUGGUGGCAACUAUCAUAUUUCAGUUAAAGAUUUUCACUGUCAAAAGUAUACCUUAGAUCGAUAGCAUGAAAAGUAAGCAACUUUAUCAAGGUCCCAUCACUUUUUUGUCCUCGAAACGUGAAUCAUAAGAUGUAUUUUGAUGAUUAUUCCUUUCCCCCAUCAAUUUCGUAUCAGCUUCGAUAUCCUAAUCGGCACGAAAUGGUUAAGCCUCAAAUCGUGCUGAUAUCCUUUGCUUCGAGAUAGCGAUUUGUCUCAAUCUUCCCUUCAACGAAAUCCUCACUGAUCUCAGUGAUAAGAUUUUUCGAACCUUCGUAUCAAUUCCUACGUCAAGCCUAGGAGCAUCUGCGGAAGGAAUGCUAUGCAUUCCUGGCUCAUGUUUGAUGGGUUUUAGCCAUAAGAACAUCCUAUGUGCUCAUGCAAUCCCUAAUGCUUGGAUCUAGGUUUCUCUAUUGUACAUGAAAUUCAUCCAAGACUAUAAACCCUAGAUCUAGCAUAUGAUAAUCAUUAUAACAUAUGAAUAAGGUUUUAGAUCAUACCUUGAUUGUUAUGUAGCAAUAACAAUCUCAAAUCCUCCUUGUAAUGACUUUAGAAAGCUUAGAGUCACAAAUGUCACUCCUCUAAUGGUUCACAAACACCAAGAGCAAGAGGAUGAAGAAGAGAAGAGAAGGAGGCUGCUCAAAACGUGUGGAAACCCUAGAAGGAAGCUUGUCCACGUUUUUGGGGCAUAAGGGUUCUUUAAAUAGUGAGGCUAUUAGGGUUAUCUAACAAGGAAACCCUAAUUUGGAUGCUUAAGCCCUAAGCAACCCAUGGGCUCCUUCCUUAAAGGCCUUGGGACGAUUUCUAAUGGGUUUCCCCUUAGAAUUCGUCCACUCCUUUAAUAUGGAGUCCAUUAGCUCAAUAUUCAUCUAUCAUACAAUUGACAACUCUAGUCCCUUAAUUUUAAUUAAUGUCUUUUAGUCACAAACUUAAUUCUUAAUACUUCUUGACUAAUAUUAAUUAAACAAUAUGAUUUCUCCUUUAAUAUAUUAUUCUCACAAUAUAUUAAUAAAUCAUAUUUAAUCCUUUCUCUCCAUUAUUCAUCCUAUCAAGUUGCUUUGGUGAAGGCAACCCAAAAGGACCAUGCACCAUCGGGUCAAGUACAUACCAAAAUAGUUAUGGACUUAGACACUAAUCCAACAGUCUCCCACUUGGAUAAGUCUAAUAACUAUUAUGCGUAUGACUUCAGAUCCUGAUCUGCAAUCGUAGCUUUCCAAAGCCGCUGUCAACUCUGAUCCUAUCAGAUACGCGUGUCCUUAGAUAAGGGAUCAUAUAUUCCUCCAUUCUAGAUAUCAUAUGAGAUAUGAUUUCAAAUCAUUCUCUUUGUACUAUAUCUCGAUUCCCGAUUUAUGACGACUGACUAAUUGAACAAAUCAAAUUAGCCCUAGCCCGGCCGAGCAUUUACGUUUGUCAUCACUAAAUCAUCGAGGGGCCCAAAGAUAUCGCUUUUAUCCUACUUUGGAUAAAAGGAACGGAUAAACUUUGAUACAAUGCUUGCUUGCACUCACUCACCGAAUCACACACAACAAUAUGUUUUAUAACACCAAGUUACUAGUGCGUUUACAUAUUAUCAAUGUGCAACCGAUUUGCAAGAUACAACUCACACAUCUCGGUUUCAAGAAUAUAAGAUGUUAUCGUCUCACCAAUCACUCGUGAUACAAUUCAUGGAGUGAUCCAAGUGAGCGUGGGUUUAAUCCAAUGCUCAAAUCAUAUUCAUAAGCACUCAUGAACGUUGCAGCAAACAUUUGCUUAUGUCUAAUACUCUUUUAGACAAUCCACACACCAAUUCACGACAGUCUUCAUUCAUAUCUACUUCCAACAUAUGAACGACUGUGGCCCGUUCGAAUAAUUCGAUUAUUCUUAAUAAACUCAAUUAUUCUGGAAGUCAAAACAUGCAAAUGUGAAACACAAGAAUAAUACUAAUCCCAUAUGGCCUCAAACCUUUGAGUAUAAAUAAAACACCUUUUAUUUAUCACCAUAUCGAUUACUCAUUAUUUGUCGUUUCGGGUAAUCAACUUCUUACUUGAAUUAUUACACUUGUCCCAUGCUCUUAGCAUGCACACAAUGUUUACCUAUGGUUCUUACUUUUGUGAAAUAGAUCAAAUUGAACACAUUUCCAAUCAUUCUCAUUUCACAACUCCAAAUCCUUUUUCAUAAGUGUGAGAAUAUCAAAUUCUUGUUACUUAUAAAAUAUGCUAGAUUCUAACAUUCUAUGCAAUGAUCCUUUCGUAAUGUCACUGCACCAAAGUCACAAAGACUAUUGCCAAUGAUAUUACAAAGUCCUCUAUCGGAGAUUGUUACAAGACAAUUCCUUAGAUAUGAUGUCUCUCACUCAAAGUACAUUCCUUUGAACAUCCUUUUGCAUAAAAGUUUCUAAUCUAGUCAUAGAUUUUCAAUAUUCAAUUCCCAAUAUGGACACGUUUCCAUAUUUUCCAUAUGACAACUCAUUCUUAAUAGAAUCUUAUCUAUUCGUAAUGAUGUCGAUAUGGUCCAUCCAAUAUGGAAACAUUUCCAUAAUUUCCAUAUGACAACUCAUUCUUAAUAGAAUCUUUUCUAUUCAUAAUAAUGUCGAUAUGGUCCAUCCAAUACCAUGCUUCCAACUACUCACAAGCGACCAAUCCUCGUCGAACUUUGGAUUGUCCUUUGAUAGUUGUUUAAUUAUUUUAGUCAAAACCAAUUCUAGUCCCUUUUCCCUCUAAAUGCGCUCGACAUUUGGAAAAUUUUAGAAUGGUCAAACAUUAAAGCAUUUGCAAUCGAUCCUAUACCCGAAGCGUAUGGGACACGACGCAUAAUGUUUUAUUUGCUAUGUUCUCAAAAUUCGAAUUGUGAAGAGGAAUGCCGUAAUCAUAAUCGAAAUUUUAAGAACACACUAUGUACCUUUGACUAAAUUUAUUAACAUUUCUCAACCUAAGCCUUUAGAUUUGAAAUGAAGCAUAAUAUUCUCUCCCUUAAUUAUAGCAAAACAACUUUACAACCCUUACGACUUUGCAAGGUAUAACUCUUGUUUUCUAUAAUUAAUAUUGCCAACUUGCAAUACGUGCCUUAAUAAUCAUACAAUCAUAACAUUUAUGCUCCCACUAUCAUGAUGAUUAUUAUAAAACAUAACACUUAUGCUCCCACUAGCUUCGACAUGUAUUCAUAAACAUCUUAACUUUCAGAAAAACAAUGCUUAUUGAAUUUCUUAAGUUCAUGUUUCUAAUACUUAGUGCUUUGAUAAUCUUUUAUCAAGGCUUCUUGAACUUAUACACCUUUGCCUUAGAUAGUUCAUAUGUGUGUCUAAACAAUUAAGACUAAUUGCCAAACCUCACAAUUCAAAUCAUGGAAAGGGAUACCGUAACCAUAAUCGAAUUCGAGAAUGCAAUUUUACAAUCACUAUCUUCUUAAAAUCUUUCUUAGUGAAAGCAUUUCCUCACAAUCAUUUUCAUGAAGGAGGAAAUCUUAUGACACUUAGAUUUAAACGGUGUAUGUGUUCCUAUCCAUGUGAAUUUGUUAAAACCAAAGUUUACGACAAAUUCAAACUCAUAUGGACCGAACUUUCUUAAUCUUGAUUUCUUGCCUUAUGGUAGCACAGCUGCCCACCAUGUCUUCCAAGUAGUUAAGCAGCUCACCCUUUCCUAUCAAUGUACCUUUCAUUGAUUAAGGUGCUUUGCCUUUUAUGCGUUCAAAAUGAGAACUCAUAGAACUCACAUGCAUAAUUAACUCGAUUGGAUUGGCACAGAAACAAAAUAAUGUCAACACGAUAGGUUGUAAACCUCAACUCGUGUGCUAGUGAUGAUCGAUAAGGUUUAUUUGAUUUGUUCUUGAAACCUUUCAAGACCAUUAAGACUCCCACUGACUCCUUGACAUAUAAGAUUCUCUUGUCAAUAAACAUUUCUUGACAAACAAAUAUUCAAGAGUUAGUGUAGUUUUUAUCAAAACACUUCAUAAAUUGGUCCUAGUUGGUCUUUGUCUUAUCCAAGACAUCACAACUUUCCACAUUUGAUGAAUGUUAUAAACCUUCUUAAUACUUAUCACUCAAUGUCACAAUCUUAACUCUAAGACUUGUUUUGGAACGAAGUAUGAUUGACUUCUUGAUUUAACCAUUUCUUCAAUUCUUGAUUCCUCUUCUUAGACAUACAAUUGUACUAAGACUCACUUAGAGGAUCAAUUGAGAUAUGGUUCUUAAUCAUUAAGACCUAUCAUAAAGCAUAAAAGGUACUCUCCCUUCUUCUUAGAAUGGAGAAACUUUUAUCUUUCUGCCUACUUGAUUCUUCUUAUUCGUUCUGCUAUUGAUUUAAACUUUUUCAAUCAAUUCAGAAUUACACUUAAUCUUAUAAGUAUAAUCAUAUUUACUAAACCUUUAGUAAAUCAUGACGAAUAUCUUUGUUACUCUUAUGGUGGACUUGAUCAACACGCAACUUUGUGUACUCGAUCUCCUAGUCCUUCACUUGACACUUUGUCAAUGAAUUAGUCUAAUUUCCAAAUAUGAAAUUUCUCAUUCAUCGUGCAACCAAGUUGCAUGAUUCCAAGUUUCUGUCCAAUUGAAACUUGGGCGAUGAGAAACUCUCCCUAUUUGGUAAACUCUCGACUUUCCAUAAAUAACAUAAUAAGAACCAAAUCCAUUAUUGCUAAUAAUAGAAACAUUCAAACAUCAAUUUUUCAUAUACGCCAUUGCAAGGAUAAAUAAAUAAUAUAAAAUCAAAAUUUAUUUUAUUGCGGAAAAAAUUUGUCCUUACAAUGCAAUUCAUUGAAAAACUAUGCUAAUACAUCUUUCUUAGCAAUCUAAUUCUAACUCUAAGUAGUAGCUCAAGAAUCUAAUCUUCGAGAAAUGCGAUCGAAAUCCAUUCCUUCACGGUUAGAUUCUGCUCACUUCUUCCCUUAAGCUUCCUUUCUUUUCUUCGAUCCUACAAAACAUCAAUUGUAAUCUUAUCACAUUAUGUAUUAAGAAUCUAGAAUAGAAGCUUAAAAGAGUUAGUUAAUGGAUUUUACCUAUAUUAGAGCCAUACGUUUCGACUCUCCCAUCUCUUAGAUCUCUUAGGUAAAUGGGGCAGCUUCGUCUCCAAUGCCCUUUCUCUUGGCAAUAAAAGCAAAUUGACUCUUUUGGAACAUGACAUGGAACUACUUCAGACAUUGCCUUUCUCUUAUGAUCAAACUUUUCGAUCAUAGCAUGUCUUUCGUUGCCAUUGUCUAUAUCCAUAGAGGUCUUGAAGGCAGAUUCACCAAUCAACUUUGCUUUUCUAUUGCGCCAAACCAUUGCUGAUUCAGCAGCAAUAAGCAUAUAGGUGAGAUCUAUAAGGGUCACGUCGCGGUUCAUCAUAUAGUACUCUCUUACGAACUCACUAUAUGAGUUAGGAAGUGACUGAAGAACCCAAUCAACAGCCAUUUCCUCACAGACAACGGAUCCCAACAUUCUUAACCUAUCAAUGUGUGACUUCAUCCCUAGGACGUGUGCACACACCGACUUUCCUUCUUUAUGUUUACUUGCCAAAAGGGCUUGAGUGAUCUUGAACUUUUCAAGCCUUUGAACUUGUGGGUUAGGGAGAAUAAUUGGAGGAGGAGGAGGAAGUGAAGCAUGAUUUCUUGUUCCUCGAUCGAAUCGUGGAAUAUCAUCUUCAUGUGGAAUGCUUGUUCCACGGGAUUUGGGAAGACCAUAGUUGUCGAACUUUGACAUCUACAAAACGGGAGAAAACGAAUUCAAGUUAGUUGAUUGAUUGAGUCCUUAGUAAAUCACCCAAAUGAGAUACUAAGGCUAGGACCCAACACAAUAUUCUACAACUCGGGAGAGGGAUGCCGUAACCCUAAUUGCAGAAUAUUUGAAGGUAAGUGAAUGACGAUUCACUAAUUUCCACCAUGAAAAACGAAAAAGAAAUUUAAGUUUUAAAUCUAUGAAAACUCCUAGAUCCUUUGAGAUUCAUUGAACUUUCAAUGGCAUGUUUAAAUCUCGAUAUGCCCCUCUUGUUUGUGACUGGGAUGCCGAGGAUCACAAAGCGGGUGUGAAUAACCAUGCAAACUUACAUGGUGCCCUCACAUGUUACAGUCACCUAUUCGAUGUGCCGGUAAACCACACACGCUCCACCGAACUAUGACAAACAUUGAGUCACCCUUUGCUACCUUUGCUUAGAACCAUUUAGUGUGCCGGUAAACCACACACGCUCCACUAACGUCUUCGCAAGGGCACAAAGUGUAAUUUCAUGGAAUUGCAUCAAUUCACUUUUGCCUAAGUAACUAAGAUUGGGAAUUUGUAAAACAUUUAGUUACUUUUGUACUUCAUUAUACUUAUAAUGGAAGGUUCUGUCCUAUCCUACCCGUUCGGCUAACGACCCUCCACUAGUCAAGAGUGCGGUGGGUAAGAGUGGAUACCCAUUCAAUCGCCAUUUUAUAGGCAAUUUCCUUAAACACCCCUUAUAGACCAGCUUCGUGAAUGAGGCCUACUAACGGUAAGACUGACUUUUACUCAUACAUAUAUAUAAUGUUAGACUUUUAAUGUUAUAUAUAGUAUAGGGUGUAUUUUACACUUUUAAAAUACUAGGUGGUCAAAUUUAACAAUUAUACUUUUAAUUCAAUUAAAUUGUAAACCAAAACUUUAUGGAUUUAUUAAACCUCUUUUAAUUAUACACCUUAAUUAAUUAAUAAAACCAUAAGGGUGUGAUUUGAACUUUUCAAAACAAUACUAGGGUUUUAGAAUUUAACAUUCCUAAAUUAAACUUUUAAUCAACUUUUAAAUUCCAAAACUUGAGGGCAAGUUUUGAAACAUUUCAAAACAUUAGGGUUUAGAAUUUAAAUAUACAUCAAAAUUAAACUUUUAAUCAAAAUUUAAAUUCCAAAACUUGAGGGCAAGUUUUGAAACCUUUUCAAAACAUUAGGGUUUCAACUAUUUAAAUUUCAAAACAAAACUUUUGAGUUCAAAUUUAAACUAUAAAACCUAAAGGGGAAAAUUGAAACUUUUCAUAACACAAGGAUCAAAUAACAAAUAAUAUAAAUUAAACAAUUAAUUUUAUCAUUAUCUAUAUUUGACCUAAUUUCAAUUUCUUGCAAAAUAAGUUACCCAAUUAAUACAAAUAAUCAACUUUAAUCAUAUAAGGAAGUUAUUAUCUAAUCAAUUGGUAAUUAUCUUUUGUUUAAUCAAGGAUAUACUCAUAAAUAUGUAUAAAAUCGGAUUUUAAUGAUCUAAAACAGAUAAGGCAAGUAUCCAUGAGUAAAACAGCAAGAAAUCCCGAAAAUAGCUCCAUCUGACGCUCGAACUCGCCGAGUACCACACUGUACUCGCCGAGUUGAGGCCUACUCGCCGAGUACAUUGUGGUACUCGCCGAGUUCAUCAGGCAGGGAGCUCAAAACUCGAUUUUGUAACUUGAACAAACAUACAAGGCAUCAAUACAAUAGAAACCAAUCAAGGCUCUGAUACCACUGAUGGGUUUUAGCCAUAAGAACAUCCUAUGUGCUCAUACAAACCCUAAUGCUUGGAUCUAGGUUUCUCUAUUGUACAUGCAAUUCAUCCAAGACUAUAAACCCUAGAUCUAGCAUAUGAUAAUCAAUAUAACAUAUGAAUAAGGUUUUAGAUCAUAUCUUGAUUGUUAUGUAGCAAUAACAAUCUCAAAUCCUCCUUGUAAUGACUUUAGAAAGCUUAGAGUCACAAAUGUCACUCCUCUAAUGGUUCACAAACACCAAGAGCAAGAGGAUGAAGAAGAGAAGAGAAUGAGGCUGCCCAAAAUGUGUGGAAACCCUAGAAGGAAGCUUGACCACGUUUUUGGGGCAUAAGGGUUCUUUAAAUAGCGAGGCUAUUAGGGUUAUCUAACAAGGAAACCCUAAUUUGGAUGCUUAAGCCCUAAGCAACCCAUCGACUCCUUCCUUAAAGGCCUUGGGACGAUUUCUAAUGGGUUUCCCCAUAGAAUUCGUCCACUCCUUUAAUAUGGAGUCCAUUAGCUCAAUAUUCAACUAUCAUACAAUUGACAGUUCUAGUCCCUUAAGUUUAAUUAAUGUCUUUUAGUCACAAACUUAAUUGUUAAUAAUUCUUGACUAAUAUUAAUUAAACAAUAUGAUUUCUCCUUUAAUAUAUUAUUCUCACAAUAUAUUAAUAAAUCAUAUUUAAUCCUUUCUCUCCAUUAUUCAUCCUAUCAAGUUGCUUUGGUGAAGACAACCCAAAAGGACCAUGGACCAUCGGGUCAAGUACAUACCAAAAUAGUUAUGGACUUAGACACUAAUCCAACAAUGUUGACAAUGAGACACAAGAAGUUAAGGACCUCGAGAGCAUCUUCGAUGUCUGCAACUUUCCUGAUGUCUUCCCCAAGGACAUUCAAGGGAUUUCUUCCGAGUGUCAAGUUGAAUCCCGUAUCGAAUCGAUCCCCGGAGCUACCCUUAUAGCUAACCCUUCAUAUCAUCUAGAGACGACAAAAAUGUGAGAGUUAUCCAGCCAGCUCAAUGAGCUAAGCAACCAGGAGUUCGUGAAUUUAUUGUAUGUGAAUUCUAUUAUGUUCAGAUCUUUUCUAUCCUUGCUAAAACCACAACAUGGGCAUGUGGGUCGAAUCACUGAGAGUCAGAUAGCAAAACGGGAAAUCCCAAUGCAUAGAUAAACAUUUAGGAUACAUCUAGAGGCAACCAUUGUUUCUCACAAUCUUCUUUUCUUGACAUAUAGCAAAUCAUGCCUCUGAAGAAACGUAACCAACCCACCGGUAAGACACCAAUCCUCCAGAUGGACUCAGUUACGUUCCAAGCUACUGUCGCAGCAGCUGUAGCAGCCGCCCUAGCUGUUCUUAACGCUAACAACACAAAUAUGGGUGGAAGUGUUAGCGGUAAUCCGAAUCUUGGUGUUAACCAAUCUCAACAACAAGUGCCUACUAGAAAGGACACACCUAACCUUCUAAAAUGGAAGUUCAAAGGAAGUUGUUCAACCCAAAUACCUACUGAGAGGCAACGAUUUGGGACAGUCAGUACCCCAGUCGUCCCUGCUGUUCCCACACCAACCAUACCCUACUAUGGAAAUCUCCCGCACUGCAGCAAAUGCAAUUACCAUCAUCAUGGGGUCUGCCGAGUGCUGUAUUGCACCAGAUGCAACAGGAAGGGACACACCUCCCGCAGUUGUAGAACCCUAGUCAAGUUCAUCACUCCGAUUACCAAUGUUGGGACAAGUCCAACCUGCUACCUCUGUGGAAGUUUAGGACAUUUCAAAAGAGACUGCCUAACAGAGAAGAACAAUGGGGAAACAGGAGGAGUCUGACCUCAGAGAAUGAGGAAGCAUCAAAGAACCCUGCUAUUUUUUGGGUAAGUUUUCAAAACCUCAAUAAUUAUUCAUAAUCGUGGUUUCUUUCCCAUCCAAAUUUAAUCGCGACAUACUCUUAAAAGUUUAUGCCCUAAGAGGUAAAUUAGGGUAGCCUAGUGUAUACGUUAGAGUCAGUUGUAGCUAUACAUUGUUGGAUUAAUGUCUAAGUCCAUAACUAUUUUGGUAUGUACUUGACCCGAUGGUGCAUGGUCCUUUUGGGCUGCCUUCACCAAAGCAACUUGAUUGGAGAAAUAAAUAGAGAGAGAGAGGUUAUUAUGAUUUAUUAAUAUGUUAUAAGAAUAAUAUAUUAAAGGAGAAAUUAUAUUUGUUUAAUUAAUAUUGGUCAAUAAUUAAUUAAGAAUUAAUUUUGUGAUCAAAUGUAAUUAAUUAAACUAAAGGGGCUGAAUUGUAAUUAUGUGAUAGUUACAAAAUAAGGUAAGGAUUAUCUUAUUAAUUGGUUGGCCGAAUUUAAAGUGAUAAGGCCUUAGAAUUCGACUAUGAUAAGGAUUCAAGGAUUAUCUUAUGGGUUGCUUGGUGGACAAGCAACUAGAUAAGGAUAAUGACUGAAACCCUAUCUCUACACCUAUAUAAACACCCCUUAACUCAUGAAUUCGGCUAGACCUUCCCUAAGGCUUCUUAGGAACGAAUUCAAUACCUCCCCUCUCUCCUUAUACCUUCUCCAUUUGCUCUUGGUGUUUGUAAGCCAUUAGAGGAGUGACACUUGUGACUCUAAGCCUUCCAAAGUCAAUUCAAGGAGGAAUUGGGAUUGUUAUUGCUACAUAACAAUCAAGGUAAUAUCAUAAACCUAAUUAUAUGUUAAUAUCGAUUUCCAUAUGCUAGAAUUAGGGUUUAUAGUCUUGGAUUCAAAGCAUGUACAAUAGAGAAACCUAGAUCCAAGCAUUAGGGUUUGUAUGAGCACAUAGGAUAUCUUAUGACCAAAACCCAUCAUACAUGACCCGUAUACGCCAAGCAAUCAUAGGAAAAUUUAGUAAGAACCAUCCCAUCGAGAGCCCAUAGUUUCAAAACAUCUGGACCCUUGCAUUAGUAGUACCCACCAAGUCCAAAUCAAACGCAGAAAAUACCAGAGACGUUCAUUUAAGGAUACCAAUGUAUUAGCAAAACGAUCCUCCCAGACUAACCUGACGCACGAUUCUACGACACCAUCCUGUCUAGAUCGACUGGGUCUAUGUUAUACCAAACCCUUUUGUCUUAAAUCGUUCUAUCACGAAACUCCCGUCGCACGUGACGACAACCACAUGCGAACUUCAAAGAAUUCAUCUCUCUUCGAAAUCCGAAAGUAUUCAUACGAAGAGUAUCAUCCGCAAAGAGAAGGACAAAGUAAGAGAACCAUCCAGACAAUUGAAGAUGUGUCAUGGGCCCCACAUCCAUCCUUAACUGAACCUUCCUGUAAAAACGACGACCUUUCCAGUAGCAAGGUUGCGCCGUUCGAAGCCCUCUACAGCCAUAAGUACAGACCCCAUCUGUGUUGGGCUGAGGCCGGCGACACGCAAAUAAAUAAGAGUCAAAUCCCCGACAGCACUCCCACGAGUCCUGAAAUCACCCGAGGGACGUCAGAAAAGAUCGUAUGAAAGAGGCUAUGUCGAUAAUAGACAAAAAGCAUUAGAGUCCCAGGUUGGUGAACGUGUCUUUCUUACAGGUUUCACCCUGGAAAAGCCUGAUACGCUUCGGAAAGCGUAGAAAGCUAAAUCCAAGAUACGUUAGACCAUCCGAGAUCCUCGCUAGGAUCAGUACCAUAGUGCACAAACUCCAGUUACCUCGAGCGCUUAGCAACGCUCAUCUCGUCUCCCUCGUUCCAAACCAAAAUGAGUGUCCGACAGAUGAGACACUUACGAUUUCCCCUCGAUAGUCUCGAGUUAGACGAGAUUCUACACUUUGUGAGAGAAUCAUCCGAGCUCACGGAUUGAGAAGUCGAGUGAACGAAAUAACGUCACAUCCCGAUAGUGAAGGUCCACUAGAAUGUCAAACAGGAACUUGGAUUCACUUGGGGGCACGAGAGUCCCAUGAACCUGAAGUACCUACAUCUUUUUCCAAGACCUUGAGUUAUAUUCUUAUUUUUGAAUUUCGGGACGAAAUUCCCUCUAACGGGGGGAUGAUGUGACAACCCGGAACUUCUGUCUCGCACACUUAGCCAUUUCAAUCAAAGUUAAACAUGUUUCGUUGACUUUUGGCACUAUUUGAGGGUUCAUUUAAGUGAUUCUAAGCUUGAACAUGAUCAAGGUUGAGUCUAGGAAUGAGUCAAGAAGUUAUAUACUGUCAAAACAAGGCCAUACACAUCUUUAGAGGGAGUGUACGGUCGUACACAUGGGUGUGCGGCCGCACACACACCUCCUGGCAGCACACUCCUUUCUAGGAAGCACACCCACCCUAUAUAAAGGGUAGACCCCUUUCCUUUCAUUCCUUAAACACCCUGGCAGCACACACCACCUUUUCUCUCAAGGCUAUUCAACCACAAACCCUCCCAAGGCUUCAAAAAUGUGAGUAAUCCAUCCCUUAGCUUGUUAUACUUGAAGAACAUCUUGAUCUAGGCCUUGAAUCAUGAAAGUCCCGUCAUGUUCUUCAUCUCAUUGAAGGAGUGCGACCACACACUCGUGUGUGCGGUAGCACACUCCUGUGUACAACCACACACCCAUGUGUGCGGCAGCACACUCAUGUGUACGGCAGCACACUCAUUUGUGCGACCAUACACACAUACCAUAGGACCAAACACCCAUUUUUAAGACCCUAAACUUGUACUACAACCAAGUAUGGGCCUAGUACACUUCAUGGAUGCAAGUUUGGACCUUGAAAACACCUUUAAGGUGGCCAUACACCUCACCCAUGCAAUCCUUUGAGGUCCUAACACUUAGUGCAAGUAGUCCCAAGUUCUUAGAAUGGUUCUUCGUCACAUCUAGUGGUGAAAUACCAUCAUUUGACUCCUUAAUGUGUCAUUACUUGUUGAUUAGGAGCAAAUCGUGUUCAAGGCUUCACUUGAACAUUCCGCAUUCCGUAUCGAUCCUUCAUUCAAAUCACCCGAGGUGAGUUCAUACCCCUACGCUUUUUCUGAGUUUUUCAUGUUUUUAGGGGGGGGGGGGAAUACAAGCAAAAGUACAAGGAAACUUGGGCUCAAAAUAUAUUAUUUUGUUUAAGAUAAUUAUAUUUUCAGUAUGCUUUUAACACUGAAAACAGUUUUACCAACCGAUUAAGAAAUCAACACGUAGAAACAGUUUUCAAAACUAGAACAAUGAACUUGUGAAUUAUAUAGAAAAAUGUAUCAUUUUAUAAAGGAUUCAUGCAAAUCAUAAACAUGAUUUUCGGUAUUAUUACUUGUAAAUUUUUUUGGCUAUGUUUGAGACACGUCCUUGGUAACACUCACCACAAGAAACAGAGUUGAGGACUAGUACUCGUGACCAGAGUCACUUGUAGGGAGAACGUGACUGUUGUGUAUAGAUCUAUAUGGGACUAACAAUCCCGCACCUCACUGCUAGCUACAGUUGGACCGGCAGGUCUGCGGGUGACAAAGUCAUUAAGGAUAUCGGCCGUUGCGGGCCAUAUCCAGUCAGUUAUGGUUAUGAAGCUCACAACCUAGAUAACAGGGAUUUACUUUUGUAAUAAUGAAUCAAGUGAACAAACCUCAAAGUAAUAACCGAUUUAAUUACUGGAGGGUAUUAAUAAUAAUACCUUCAGGACUUAGUUCAUCACAGUUUUCUUUUGUUUAGUUUUAUUUAUGUAAUAAGGCUAGUAUACCUCUCUGGGUGUAACCAAGGUUUUUUUUAAAAGAAAACUGCUUUUAUCAACACGAGUAUGGUAGAUACUUGCAAACCUCAGUUUAAAACGGAUAAUCAACCAUCAACCUUUAGGGAAAAUAUAGGAUUUUCCCGGGAUAAACUUGCUAUUAAAAACGGAUUGUUUUACAACCAAUGGAUAUUCAUAUUCAUUCCACGACACAUUGGGUUGUACAUGUUCUGUAUGAACCUGGAAGUCAUAGAAUGAAUGGGUUUUCAAACACACUUUUCAUAAGAAAAUAUAGGAUUUUCUUGAGGAACACUUUUCAAAAGGAUUCAAAGAACAUUUUUCCACCAAAACUAAAUGCUUAUGAACUCACCAGCUUCAUGCUGAUAUUCUUUCAAAACUGCUUGCAUUCUGAGGGAAUUAGUAGACAGGUACUUCGAGGAGCUCGGAGAAGUCGAAGUGUUAGAGUCGUGUCUUUCUAUUUUACUUUUAAUAUGAAUAAAACUAUGUAUUAAAAAAUGUAAACCUUUUUCACAUAUGUAUUCAAUGUAUGGUUGUGUUUACUGUGCUUGCUAUGAUACAAUUUUUGUGAUACUACGCAUGACGUCAGCCACCCCCGAACAUUUCCGCCAUUCCGGUUUGGGGGUGUGACACCAUCCUUUCAUAUUGUUCUGGUGAAGGCAACCCAAAUGGACCAUGCUACUAUUGGGUCAAGUACAUAUCGAUUAUAGUUAUGGGCUUAGAUACCAAAUCCAACAGUCUCCCACUUGGAUAAGUCUAAUAACUAUUAUUGCAAGUACAACUCUAUAAUCCCGACUAGCAAUCGUAGCUCUCAAAAGUCGAUGUCGAACUCUGACCUAGUCAAAUGACGUGUCCAUUAGAUAAGGGAUCAUAUAUUCUUCCAUUCUAGAUAUCCUAUGAACUGAGACAUGGAUUAUAAUCAUUCUCUCUGUUCAUGUGUUGUUUCCCGAUUUUCGAUUUAUGACGACCGACUAAUUGAACAAAUCAAAUCAGUCCAGGCUUGGCCAGCACUUAGAGUUGUCAUUACUAAAUCAUCGAGGGGCCCACAGAUAUCGCUUUUAUC
rnacentral:lncRNA from 1 species